rnacentral:lncRNA from 1 species
GGGGAAAGCUAUAAGGUGGUAGGAAAGAGAAAGUAUAUCAUAUAUGCCUCCAGGAAGGAAAAGGUCCUCUUUUAGGACUGCAAUUGAAUACUCUUAGUACAAUGAGAUAGAAGCUUAGAAUUAAAUUUAAGUAGAUUUAAUGCAAAUAAAAAUAAUUUUUUGCAUUUCUUGCAUGAUAGUUGGAGGACUGAGACUAACAUUAAUUUUAAUAUUAAUUUAUUAAACUAAAUGCAGUGGGAUAGAUCACAUACUGCAGAGAAUAGCAAGAGAGUAGAGACAUGUAUGAAGAGAUUCCAAAAACUAUUGGAUAGAAAUGAACUUUUACAAUAUUACUUCUAUUUUGAGGUCCUGGUUUUGUUUGUUUGUUUGUUUGUUUUGUCUUUUUGUCAUUUCUAGGGCCACUCCUGCAGCACAUGGAGGCUCCCAGGCUAGGGGUCUAAUUGGAGCUGUAGCCACCGACCUACACCACAGCCACAGCAAUGUGGGAUCCGAGCCACGUCUGCAACCUACACCACAGCUCACAGCAACGCCGGAUCCUUAACCCACUGAGGAAGGCCAGGAACUGAACCCCCAACCUCAUAGUUCCUAAUCGGAUUCGUCAACCACUGAGCCAUGACGGGAACUCCUUAAGGUCCUGUUCUUAAAGUAAAAUUUCUUCAUCUGGUGAAGAUUAUUAAGCAUUGAUUGAGAAUUUCUAUGACCACAUUAAGGAUUCCUUCAGAAAAAAUAUUUCUAUCUCUGUACUUAAAGUUUAAGAUUAAUAAUAACAUUAAACAAUAGAAGAUGAUCAGCUGAGUCUGAUGUUUCAAGAAUAAAGAUGUUAUAUAGAGCAUAUCAUACUAAGUAAAGAAUUUCUCUUACUAUGUCUCUUUAGGUAAUUUUUCAUUGGUUUAUCAGAGAGGUAUGCUUGGAAAACUUUCACUCUUUAUCAUAUUGAAAUUAAUAUAAAUAUUGUAUUUCUACCUUGGGGUAUGGAUUCAGUGAUUCUAAUUAUUAAUACUGCCAUUAAACAACUAUCUUUACAAAUUUCUGUCACAGACAAGUUUAUUUCUAUUCAGCUCCAUUAUAUUCCAUAUUCUUAUCUAAAGACAAUCCCUCCAUUGGGGAUGAAGUCCAAUCUCCUCUCACCUAAAAAAAAAUAUUGCUCCAGCAAUUUUCCCUUUCUCUCUUACAUCAUCAAUUUUCUCCCUUCUCCACUGCAUUAUUCCUUUAGGUAAGAAACUAGCUUUAAAAACCAAACAAAGAAACAAAAGAAAACAAAAGAAAAAAACUUUUGAAUUUACAUGGCCUUCAUUCUUCCUUAAGUGCUGCAUUAAUUUCUAGUUUCCAGUUGCAGCAAAAUUACUUAAAUUUGUUGCCUUAGUUGUUUUUAUUUACUUUUCUCCCUCUGUCCCUUAAACCUACUUUUAUUUAAUUCGAGCCUCCAUAACUCUUGCCUUUGCAAGAUCACCAGGAACUUAUGUAACACUAAAUUUAUUAGUCAAUUCUUAGUCUUUAUUUCACUUGGCUAAUCAGUAGGAUUUGACACAGCUGAUCAUUUCUACUUUCAGAUGCUUUCUUCUCUUGGCUUCCAUUAUUCCACCUUCUCAAUAACUCUUGCUAGCUCACUGGCCAUUCUUUCCCAGUCCUCUUUGCUUUUCUUUAACAUUCCAGGCAUUGUCUUACUUCAGGAAUUUUUCAGUAUCUUUCCACCAAAUAAGAUUGUUCUUGGCCCUGAUAUUCACACAGCAUUAAUGUCCUCAACCCUUGGACUCUUAGUCUAAGUCUGGCCUCAGUGAAGUUAAACUACCUUUUUAAAAGCUGUGAUCCCUUGUAAUGCAUUCUCAAUCUACUUAACCUUCUUUAUUUUCUGUUCCAUAAUACUUGUUAUCAUCAAAUUAUAUAAUGUACCUAAUUAUCAUUUUUAUUUUGUCAUAGCUACCUUCCUUCAUUAAAAGCUUUAUGAGGGCAAAAAUCCACUGCCUUGUAUACUCUUCUGGUCCUACUGGUACAUAUAAGCCAGCACUUGAAGCUCACUGGGAGUUUUAUUUUCUUUCCUCUCAUAAUGGACUUAUUGAAACAUGAUCAGUGUUCAGUUUGACCAAAGAAAAAUCUGAUAAAAAUUCCUGAGGCUUAGAGUGUUUACACAUUAAAUAAAAGCUCCAACUGUAGAAUUAUUAUCAAUUUUAUGGUGAUAACAAUCAACUAAAAUUGAAUUUGGGUUUUUAAUGAUACCUAGAAACUACUUAAUAGUUCUGUUAGCAUCAAGUUCAACAAACAGCAGGGUUUGGGGUGUGGACCCGAAAUAUAAUUAAAGAACUCCAUCAAGAGAUUAAGAAGACACAAACCAGGGAGAGAAAGUUGAUUACAGCCCAGAAAAUUGAGAGGGUUAAGUAAAUUAGGAUGACAAACUUAAUAUAUUCUACUAGUUCUAUGAUAUGAUAAUUAUUGUCCUGGUAGAAAAGAGUCCUAUAGCCAGGAAAAUUUAGACCAAACCAAUUUAAUAAAAUUAAAGUGAUUUUCUUGACUGUAAAGCUUUCUCAGACUUAAAGAUUUUAAUGCAUGGUGUUUGAGGUUUUUGAAAAGUAGACACCAAAAUGGGAUUAAAUGUAAAAAAUAGAUAAUUUUUGUUAUAUAAAAAGCUAUAAAGGCUAAAAAGGGAUAGGGCAGGAUAAAAGUGGAAGAAGUCUUCAUGUCACCUAUGAAAUGUGAGAGGGAAAGCUUAAAAGGGUGGCACAGUUCAGAGAAAGUCUUUCUUUUUUUGUUUUUAGGGUUACACCUAUGGCAUCUGGAAAUGCCCAGGCUAGGGGUCGAAUUGGGGCUGCAACUGCUGGCCAACACUACAGUCACAGCAAUUCUAGAUACUUAACCCACUGUGUGAGGCCAGGGACUGAACUUGAAUCCUCAUGAAUACUAGUUGGGUUCUUAACCCUCUGGGCCACAACAGGAACUCCACAGAGAAAGUUUUGACUAGGUGGGGAGAGCCUAGAGCAAGACUGUCCUUCAACAAAGUCCUAUAUUCUGUCACAAUGUGGACCAUCUCUAGAACUCUCACCAUGCUUAGCCAUUGGCUGGGCCAGCCCUGGGUAAGGUUUUUCUUCUUGAAUGAUGUGAAUGCUGCAAUGGAUCUGAAGGUGUGGUAGCUUGGGGCUCUCAGUACACUGUCUUCACUACAGCAGGUUCUUUUGAAAGGAUAUCUGUGUAGCCACAUAUACUAAUAACCUGCGAAUAUGUUAAGAAUUUAAAUGAGAGGGAUAUAGACAGCUUUUUCCAAAUUUUUGUUUGUCAUCAUAGCCCUUAUAAAAACCAGUGUUCUGUGACUUGAGCAUAUGGUAUAGAAAAGAGUAAUUGUGUUAUUUCUAUUUAGAAUAACAUAGGAAAAUUCACUAGUCAGAUUUUUACUGGCAAGAGAACAAAAUAAAAAUAGAUUUUGUCAUCAAAAUAAACAUUUACAUUAUGUACUAGGAAUCUCUUCUGAUAUAAUAUGUGAUAAAAAGGAGGGAAAGAUUUAUCAAAUGCAUUUCAGAACUUCAAAUCCUGCAUUAGAGGACUACUUCUUCCCCCCUAAAUCCUUUUUCUCCACCCAGUCUUCAAAUGCAUCACUUUCUCCUGACUCUUCUUAACUCUCUUUUUCUUUUCAGAAUUUUUGAUUCCCUGCUCUAUCAUUGUGGCAGCCACAAAAAAUGCACUUCUCCAAUCCAUAGCUGUGGGGUGAACAUUUGGCUGAAAGCCACAGCUGUUUCCUCUGCACAUUCUCUACCUACCUCCACCUCUGCCCAGCCUGAUUCCCUUCCCCCACCCGCUAGACAAAUACAAUUCAUUAUUCUAGCAGGAUACUUUGUUUCAGGGACUUUCCAUCAUCUGGCCAAACUUUCUUAGAUCAGAGCUCUAGUCUGAAACUCUGCCUACCCAACCCUGCUUUCCUUUAUCCUUCAAAGAUAUUUGAUUCAAUACAUUUCUUGCAAAUCCCAUACUGUUGUCUGCUUCUCAGAGGAAGCAAAAUAAUAGUCACUUAUAUAUUCAUAUUCUCUGGCAUUUUGUCAUGGGUUCUCUACAUUUAUCACUCUAUUCUUCCAUUACUUUAUCAUUAUUUUAUAUCAAAGAAUCUCAAAUGUACUGUUUAUGAUCUUUAGGAGCUAAGACUGUCUCUAUUUCCCUCUCUUAACUUGGUUUUAAAACAACCCCAGGCAAUACUUCAAUGGCUCAGGGCUUUCUGACUUGUGCCUUCAAUCUGAAUCCUGCUGCUUUGGCAGAGUAUACUUGCACUUGGAUUUAGCCCCUCUAUUGGACCCCUUUGGACUGAUGUCUUUGUUGAAUUGCAUUAUAUUUUUAUUCCUUUUUGUCAUUCCUAAGCACAAUAUCUUUGAUAGCCCUGAACUCCAUUCUCCAGAAUCAGUAGUCCAGUUUCUCUCAUGAAAACAUGCCAUGAAUCCCUAAGACCCCAGCCAGAAUCAAGAGCUCAGACACUCAUGUCUGGAACACAGGUGGAAGGGAAGAAUAAAACAAACUCCCAAUUCUGUCCUGAACUAAAGCCCUCUGUAUCUAAUAACCUAUUGCAUUGUGCUACCUAAAUAUUCUAAUGGACCAAAUUUUCUAGCUCUAAAAAUGAACUUAUCAUUGCUUUUGACACAAAUAUCCUUCAUCUUUAAUAUCAUUAUCUUGAGCAACCUCAUAGACAGUGAUGACAUUAACCAAGUAAGAAAUCUAGGGAUUUCUAUAACUCCUUCUACAAGCUUGUUUCUCAUUUCCCAUCAUUCACCAUUCCUGUCAAUAAUCUUUACAUUCAUUAUUUACUUUUCUCUUAUCUGUCCCCACUAACAUGGCCUCAGGUCCAGCCUUCAUCAUUAUUCACCUGCACUAUUGUCAGAGUCUCUUUGUUUCUCUAAUGACCUGCAAUUAUUUCCUCCUAUCUAUUGUCCACAUUUCUGCAAGACUGAUUUUUUUUUCCAAGAUACAAAUAUAAACUGUUUGCUCCUUGUUUAAAAUCAUUUGAUAGCUUUCUUUUGCCUAAUCACAUGGUCCAAACCCUUUGUUAUGACAUCUAAACUCCUUGUGACCAAACUAUUAUGAAUUUUUCUGAUUCAUUAUUUACCCUUCUUUCACUUACUUUAUGCUUGAGUGGUCUAGCUGAACUAUAUUCAGCUCUGGAACAUGACAUGUUCUAUCAUGCCAUUGAAUUUCUGUGUAUGAUGUUCCUUAAGUCUGGAGGGGCUGUCUCCUUCUUUUGUUACUGGAAAACUAUUCAGAUCCAAGACUCAAAUAAACAUUAUCACCUUUUUGAAGCAUUUUUAUACUCUGUAUCUCUCUUACCCAUUAAAAUUGCCUCUCUCUCUCUUUGCUUACUUCACAGAAUUAGUCAUUUUUUUGCAACCUGUCCUUGCCUCUAUUAAAGCCUCUAUACAAAGCCCUCUAUAAUGCACAUUUAUUUACUUGUCUGCUUCCUUUAC